AUCCUGAAAGGCUAUCCACCUCCCACCUGCUCUUCUUUUCCAAGACAGGCCUCUAGAAUGCAGCUUAUGUGUUCCGAUGAAGCUCGGGAUGUGGGAGUGUGUGGCAGACUGCUUGCAAGGGCCUGUCUUCAGAUGAUGUCAGCCUCCGCCUCCACGCCUAGUGGAACAGAAACAAGCUACCCCUUCUGAGCCCUGCCUGGUUUGUAGAUGUGGCAUGGCAGGGAUCCUGAGGAACCAGAGUGUGAGAAAACGAGACCAUCUGUCAUCUUCCUAAUUUGCUAGCUGUGCAUCCAUUUCAAGUUCCAUCGUUCUUUUUAUCCGCCCAUCUUUUUAUCCAUCCAUCCAACAAAAUAAAGCUGUCACGCUGUGCUGUGCUGCA